GUGGUAGAUAAAGUUUUUUUUUUUUUUUUUUUUAUAUAUUUAUAUUUAUCUUAGUAUUAUUAAGAAUUGAUUGUUUAUUUUAACUGUUAAGGUUUUUAUUUUUUAUUAUUGAAUAAAUUUUUGUACCUUUUGUAUCAGGGUUAUUUUAAUUUUUUAUUUAUUAUUUUUUUCCCGAAUUUAAAGAGAUUUGGGUUAUUUAUUAUUUUUAUGUGUUAUAAUGAUUUGUAAUUUUAAUUCAGUAGUUAAAAGUUAUUCGUUCUUUUUUAUAUCUGGUUAACUAAAAUUAAAUUAAAUUUUAAUUAUUUUUUAUAAUUUAUUUGAUAGGGGAUAAUCUUUAUUUUUUAUUAAAAUUUUUUUAUUUAAGUUUUUAUUAAUGAUUGUAUUUUUUUUUAGUUUUUAAUAAAUUGGAAUAUGUAUUUUUAGAUUAUUUUUUAUUUAAUAUUUAAUUGGUUUGAUUUAGAUAAUUAUUAUUUAUUUUUAAUUUUGAUUAAAUUAGUAUAAUUUUAAUUUAAUUUAAAAUGAACUCGACAAAUAUUAAUUUUCAAAUGUUUAUCAAAAACAUUUCUUUUAGUAUUUAAAUUUUAAAAGUAAUAUCUGCUCAAUGAUUAAUUUUAAAUAGCUGCGGUAUAUUGACUGUACAAAGGUAGCAUAAUAAUUAGUUUUUUAAUUGGAUUCUGGUAUGAAUGAUUAAAUGAGGAAUUAUUUUUAUUUAUUUUAUAAUUAAAAUUUUAUUUGUAUGUGAAAAAGCAUACUUAGAUUUUUGGGACGAGAAGACCCUAUAGAACUUUAAUUAUUAUUUAAAUUAUUUUUUAUUUAGGUUAAUAAAUUUAUUUUUAAUUGAUUAUUUUAGUUGGGGUGAUUAUUAAAUUUAACUUUAAUUUUUUUGUUUAUUUAUUUAUAAUUUUUUUGAUCCUUAUUAUAUGAUUAUAAGACAAAGUUACCUUAGGGAUAACAGCGUAAUUUUAAUGGUAAGUUCAUAUUUAUAUUAAAGUUUGCGACCUCGAUGUUGAAUUAAGAUUAUUCUGGGGGGCAGGUUUUUCAGUUUUAAGUCUGUUCGACUUUUAUUUCUUACAUGAUUUGAGUUCAAACCGGUGUGAGCCAGGUUGGUUUCUAUCUAAAAGUUAUUUAUUUAAUCUAGUACGAGAGGACCGUUUAAUUUAAUUUUUUAUUAUUUUUAAUUAAUAAU
rnacentral:rRNA from 1 species